GGGCAGAUGGCCGAGUGGUCUAAGGCGCUGCGUUUAGGCCGCAGUCUCUUCGGGGGCGUGGGUUCGAACCCCACUCUGCUCA